AUGUACGGGUCGGUGCAUCGCAUGGAAGAAAU
rnacentral:scRNA from 1 species